GGGGAUGAUAAGAUUCGAUGAGGAGCGGACUAAAAUAGGCAAGCAAAAACACAAGAAUAAGUGCCAAUUUAUUCAACAAACCUGCUCUCGUUUACGCUUAGUAAAUCAAGAGCCAUCUGACUUGUUGAUUCUCGCUAGGCAAAAUCAGGUGUUAUCUUCAGCGGGAUAGAUGAUUGUUCAGAUCCGGGGAAAUCAUCAAAAACGUUCGGAUUAAAAGCCUGGAAAUUUUGUCCAAUUUCAAUUCCAUGCUUGACGCAAAUUGGACUAAGCUUGUAGUAUUAUUUUAGACAAACUCUUCAGACACGGGCGCAAAUCCCGUCAUCUCCACAC
rnacentral:tmRNA from 1 species